CUCAUUGUUCCUCCUAUUAUUUCUCAAAAUAUAAAUGAAACUAAUUGAGGUUACUUAUGCCACUCACCUAUACAUCUAGCAAAUACCAAAUAUGUGAUGCUACUAGCAACUUUAAAAGAUAUAUAAUACGAAGAAAAUCAAGUUAUCAAUCUCGUAACAUCCAUAUCCAUAAAUCAUGUGCAUGUAUAUGAAUAUGUAAAGUUAUGAUCGAUAUCCAAAACAGGCCGAACAUAAUACUGAAAACAUCUUUAAAGAAAAGUUGGAACAUAAAGGAAUUAUUUUUCUUUUUGGUUGGAAAUCAAUUGCUCAUUGAUCCUACCAUUAUUUCUCAAAAUAUUAGACCAGAAAAUUGAAUGGGGCCAAAACUGGACGGCUGAGCCACCCAAGCAUAAAAAUAGAAUCUGACACAGUGCCACGUAAGCAGAGUCUUCAUUUCAACAACGAGUCUUUCGGAUCCCCUGGCAGUCAAAUCAUGUGCGUUUCACGUGGUAACGGCUGAACCGUUCGCUAAUCGCAGACCACAGACUCAGUGGGGCCCCUUCCGUAUUUUUUUAAAGUACUGUACAGCCAAGUUUGACAUCAUCCACCGUCCGUUCAGCGCCGUAGGGAGAAUGGUAGCCAUACAAUUUAAUUGGGCCGGGUUAAGGGAAAUAUGAUUUUAUUCUCCUGGGCUGAAGGUUGCGGCCCAGGUUAUAAGGGAAAUAUUUGGGCACUAAAAAUCAAGAUAAUCAAGCAACGGCGGAAUUGAUGGUAGUUCCAUAAAUCUAGACACCCUUAGUUCGCUCAUGUUAUGUGUGUGACCGUGUGAGCUAAGAUUUUUUUGAGUCUACCAUUUCAUAUCAUUGGGGAUAUACAUAUAAUUACGUGUCUAUUUCGCUUAUUAUAGGUUAAGUUGUAUGAUUAGGAGACUAAAGUUAUAAAAUCUCGAGUAUUGGUAUUGUCUAGUGUAAAGUUGUAAGUUUUACUCAUCGGAGUAGUGAUAAGCAAGACCGAACUUGGGAUUCUAAGUCAUACAUCAUCGGUUCCAAACAUAGUUUUCAAACUCCGGCAACAAUAUAUCCCUUAUAGCACUGCAAAUAUUAAAUUCUUGUAAAGACUUCAAAGGAAGAAAUGAAACAUAAGAGACAUUUAGGUUUUCUAGACGAUUAUUGUCAAUUUAUUAUGAUUGUAAGUAUUUCUCCUUAAAGUUGUAGUAAGCUAAACGGAACUUAGGUAUACAUCAUUCAUCCGCGAUUUCAAACCUAGUCCUCAUACUAGAGUCAAUAGUCGCUACUCUUUGCCAAAAACAUAGGACUCUAUUAUGAAUUUCCAAGCAUUUUGAAAUAAGAAAUGAAGCAUGGAGCACACAUAUUCUGACCAUCAAAUCUCAAAAACAACUAAAACCCACAUUUAUUUUUUCAUAUAUGCAAUUAUUUAAAAAGAAGACAACCAAGUUCCCGUCACCUUUGAUUAUCCAAAUAGGGGGCGGCAAGCCACCCCAAGGACGCUUUAUUUGGUCUGGUCGGUAUUGAUGGAGAUUGAUCUGCUUGUAGUUUUAUGAGGAUCAAGCAUGGCAAGUAUGGUGGCUUACUAAAGCAAAAGGAAAAAUGUCCUACAUAUAUACACACAUUUGCACCCCCAAAAUUAUGUUUACUAUAUUUUGUUUGGACACACAAUUAUUCUUGGAAUCGUGGGACGGUGUUCCAUGUCAUCGAUACUAAUCAUCUAGCUGGAUUUUCAGAUUUUGUACCAACUUGGCCAUACCGAGACUAAAAUUACCACAUAGGCAUAUCUUGUACUUUUACUUUUGGUACAUAACCUAAAACAUAGAUAAUAAAGAAAAAUCCAUGGCCCAAAUGCUUUUCUUGAUAGUCCAUUUUCAAUUUAAAGUAAGUCGUAUUAUCAGGUAGGGGGUGGAUUAGCUAAUUGAGGGCGACAAGCGGUGAAUUUAAAACUUUUAUAUGUUUGACAAAAUUAUAGAUUCGAGAUCCAAAAACUUUUAAAUUUCAAAAAAUAAAAAUUAUAAUUUUUAAUUUUUUUUUGGUUCCUUUAUAUCGUUUUUUUUUUUUUUGGGUCUGAGGAAGAAACAAACUCCACAACCAGAACACCUCCACAAUCACCACCACCGUCAUACCAGCUUUCGAACCCUGCCAGCUCUUGAGAAAGGCGGACGCCUUAACCACAAAGCUGACGGGAAAGCCAAUUAUAAUCUUUAAUUUUGUUUUGUCUUGAACAAUGGUGAUAAGAGAGACAACCCCACAAAUCUACGAGCCUUAUGAGCCACCAUGACUCGUAAGAAAUCAACUAACAUUUAGGUCCACUACCAGUUACCAUAUGAGUCGUUACUCCCCGAUGACCUAAGAUUUUCCACCUUGAAAGCACGCACGCAUCCAGUUGCAUCUCAUGAUGAUAAUCUAAAAUCUCUAGAUCAAGCUAAUUCAUUCACUAGCGUCACAUGAAUUCCACAAAACCAAAAUACUCAACUUACUAGUGAGAGAUAUGUGAAUGUUGAGGCUUGAACAUGAAUGCGAAUUUCACUCAAACUAAUAUCUUGCCGUUCUUAUCAUAGAGAAGUCUCUUGAGAAAUUUUUUCCCAACAUAUAAUUAACAACAACAAAAUUAUUUCUGUGGAAAUUAAGAAAGAUGGUUGCCUGGGACACUUAGCAUCGGGACCCUGCAAGUUUGGCAACCUGGAC
rnacentral:lncRNA from 1 species